CUUCUAUUUGUUUCUGUUUUUCAAUCUUUCUUAAAAAUAGCAAAAAUGAUCGCUAGAUGGCGAAUGUAGUUGUUCAAAUUUCUAUCUCUAGAUGGCGAUAUUAUCCAAGUUCCCAAAUUUCUGUUUAUGCGCGAUGUAUAAAAACCCACAUAAAAACUACGGUGACAUCAAAAUCAAUUAUACAAUAAAGGGAAAAAAAUAAGUACACAAUGCACCGUCAUAAAUAAUUAAUUGGAGUUGGAGAUAAGGAAAUUACGUUAUUAUCCAUCGCCAUUAGAAAAAUUAGAAAACAUUUAAGAAUUAUAAAGAGAGGUUAGCAAAAUGCUACAGAAAAAGGGGCGUUACAUAAUCUCCGACGAUGUUACGUAAGGUCAACGAACUAUCAUGGCCUUGAUUGUCAUUUUCGUCGACUCAGUUGUCGUUCUGCCGUUCUGGUUUCAGUAGUUCACAGUGCGUAUGUUAGUGGCAAAAUUAUUUGCAUACCGGUGCUAAAUAAAAUUCUUUAAUUUUUUCGUUUCUUUGUCAAUCUGCAAAUUGAUGUGGAUAACCAAUUUCUAAGGUUAUUAGACCAUUUACUAAAGAAUCAAUUGUUUCCACUGGGUUUGAUGGUUUGAUCCUCCCGUGACAAUCCAACCGUUUGGUUCUGCAACUGUCGAGUUGUGUAAAGGUUUGGUGGCCGCAAAUCCUAUUAACUGGUUCUUAAAUAAUUUAAAACUAUAUUGUAAAGCUCCAAUACUACCACCGCAAUGGCGAGUGUUGAUUCAAAAGCGUUUCUCCUUUCUCACCUGGAUCAAUUAGUUCCGCUAGGAUAUUUCUCAUUCUCCCCUCUCUUAUAACCCACAUCUGCUUUCAAUUUUGUUUUCGUUAACAGAUUCCAGUUCAAACGCCACAUUUACUGGCUAAUGCCAUUGUCAAAUGAUCUAUAGUUUUCUUUAAGCGCCAAUUUCAAACGCGAUAAGCAAAAACGCUAUAAGCAAAUCUAAUCAUGUAUGUAAGAUUUGAUUUCAGUUGUGCUUAUACAAUCUCCUUUGUCUUCGGAACAACACUGGCAAUCUGUUGGGAACAGGAACAAACAAAGGCAUUUUGGAUAUAACCUCAAUUUUUUCUGGGAAGCCAUGCACCCUAAGUAGCAUUUUUCUUUCACUUCCUACAAAGAACAAGUGCACCGAGAGUCGUUGGCCAGUCGUCUAUUCCAAGGUCUUUGGCCUACAUCCCUACAAAGCCCUAUAUAGGUUAACGCCCCUACACUUCAUCUUCUUCAUUCGACUCGAGUCUACGCACAAGAAUUAACGCGUUUGAUUUUUCGCUCCUCUGCCAUCUUAUACCGAGAAUUCACUCAAGCAAACUGGACGAUAUUAGGCGCCCGGAAAAUGCUGGACAUCAGGCAGAACGAACAACUUCGAAAGCAGGGCGAGGAUUUGAUCUCCGAGUUCGAUCGGACGUUUUUCUCAAAGGAUGAGAAACCGUUUGACGCCGGCGGCUCGGCCAUCGUUGCCGAUGCAGAUCAAAACAAGAUCGUCGUCCAGGAGGUAUUUGUUCAAGACGGCAAACAUUGGAUCAAACUGGAAUUGCUCCUAUCCAUCUUCUGCAUGCUGCCCGGGCCGAGUUCCAGCAUCGCCACCGUCAUCCUGGAAGCCGGAACCGAAUUUCCAGUCGACCUGAUUCGACGAGCUUUCGUCAUCAGCAUGACCGAGUGCGUCUACGUUUGGCUCAAUCAAAAUGAUUAGGCCAAGGGUAUCGCGGCAACUCAUUUUGUGGUUUAAUUUUUAAUUUUUUAAAUUUCCACAAAUUGAAUGCAAAUUGUAUCGCCCUGUUUUUUAACUGUUUCGACGAUUAAACAGCCGUGCUGAUUUUAUGAAACUCAUUCGUCCAAAAUAAUAAUCGAUUGUACCUGAAUAUUCAUGACAUGCACCUGUACGUCUGAAUAAACAAAAUUAGUAUGUA
rnacentral:misc_RNA from 1 species